GCCUUCGUGGUGUAACGGUUAGCACACGCGGCGUGUAUUCGAGAGGUCCAGGUUCGAGUCCCGGCGAGGGCA
rnacentral:tRNA from 1 species